AGAUUAAGUUAUUAAGGGCGCACGGUGGAUGCCUUGGCACUAGAAGCCGAUGAAGGACGUUACUAACGACGAUAUGCUUUGGGGAGCUGUAAGUAAGCUUUGAUCCAGAGAUUUCCGAAUGGGGAAACCCAGCACGAGUUAUGUCGUGUUAUCUGCAUGUGAAUACAUAGCAUGCAAGAAGGCAGACCCGGAGAACUGAAACAUCUUAGUACCCGGAGGAAGAGAAAGAAAAAUCGAUUCCCUGAGUAGCGGCGAGCGAAACGGGAAGAGCCCAAACCAAUAAGCUUGCUUAUUGGGGUUGUAGGACACUCUGUACGGAGUUACAAAAGAAUUUGUUAGACGAAUAACCUGGAAAGGUUAAUCAUAGAAGGUAAUAAUCCUGUAGUCGAAAACGAAUUCUCUCUUGAGUGGAUCCUGAGUACGACGGAGCACGUGAAAUUCCGUCGGAAUCUGGGAGGACCAUCUCCUAAGGCUAAAUACUCUCUAGUGACCGAUAGUGAACCAGUACCGUGAGGGAAAGGUGAAAAGUACCCCGGAAGGGGAGUGAAAGAGAACUUGAAACCGUGUGCUUACAAGUAGUCAGAGCCCGUUAAUGGGUGAUGGCGUGCCUUUUGUAGAAUGAACCGGCGAGUUACGAUCUGAUGCAAGGUUAAGCAGAAAAUGUGGAGCCGUAGCGAAAGCGAGUCUGAAUAGGGCGAAUGAGUAUUUGGUCGUAGACCCGAAACCAGGUGAUCUACCCUUGGUCAGGUUGAAGUUCAGGUAACACUGAAUGGAGGACCGAACCGACUUACGUUGAAAAGUGAGCGGAUGAACUGAGGGUAGCGGAGAAAUUCCAAUCGAACUUGGAGAUAGCUGGUUCUCUCCGAAAUAGCUUUAGGGCUAGCCUCAAGUGAUGAUUAUUGGAGGUAGAGCACUGUUUGGACGAGGGGCCCCUCUCGGGUUACCGAAUUCAGACAAACUCCGAAUGCCAAAUAAUUUAACUUGGGAGUCAGAAUGUGGGUGAUAAGGUCCAUAUUCGAAAGGGAAACAGCCCAGACCACCAGCUAAGGUCCCAAAAUAUAUGUUAAGUGGAAAAGGAUGUGGCGUUGCCCAGACAACUAGGAUGUUGGCUUAGAAGCAGCCAUCAUUUAAAGAGUGCGUAAUAGCUCACUAGUCGAGUGACACUGCGCCGAAAAUGUACCGGGGCUAAACAUAUUACCGAAGCUGUGGAUUGUCCAUUGGACAAUGGUAGGAGAGCGUUCUAAGGGCGUUGAAGCAUGAUCGCAAGGACAUGUGGAGCGCUUAGAAGUGAGAAUGCCGGUGUGAGUAGCGAAAGACGGGUGAGAAUCCCGUCCACCGAUUGACUAAGGUUUCCAGAGGAAGGCUCGUCCGCUCUGGGUUAGUCGGGUCCUAAGCUGAGGCCGACAGGCGUAGGCGAUGGAUAACAGGUUGAUAUUCCUGUACCACCAUUAUUCGUUUUAAGCGAUGGGGGG
rnacentral:rRNA from 1 species